rnacentral:rRNA from 1 species
GAAAGCGUAAUAGCUCACUAGUCGAGUCGUCCUGCGCGGAAGAUGUAACGGGGCUCAAGCCAUGAACCGAAGCUGCGGAUGUGUCUUUGACACGUGGUAGGGGAGCGUUCCGUAAGCCUGCGAAGGUGUCUCGUAAGGGAUGCUGGAGGUAUCGGAAGUGCGAAUGCUGACAUGAGUAGCGAUAAAGGGUGUGAAAAGCACCCUCGCCGUAAGCCCAAGGUUUCCUGCGCAACGUUCAUCGGCGCAGGGUGAGUCGGCCCCUAAGGCGAGGCAGAAAUGCGUAGUCGAUGGGAAACAGGUCAAUAUUCCUGUACCGCUCUUAGAUGCGAUGGGGGGACGGAGAAGGUUAGCUCGGCCAUCUGUUGGAAUAGGUGGUUUAAGCGUGUAGUCGUGCCGCGUAGGCAAAUCCGCGUGGCUAAGAUGAGGCGUGAUGACGAGGAUCCUCGGAUCCGAAGCGAGUGAUACCCAGCUUCCAGGAAAAGCCUCUAAGCUUCAGUCUAAGAGUGACCGUACCGCAAACCGACACAGGUGGGCUGGUAGAGAAUACCAAGGCGCUUGAGAGAACUCAGGAGAAGGAACUCGGCAAAUUGAUACCGUAACUUCGGGAGAAGGUAUGCCCCUGGUACGUGAAGGCCCUCGCGGCCGGAGCGGAACGGGGUCGCAGAGAAUCGGUGGCUGCGACUGUUUAUUAAAAACACAGCACUCUGCAAACACGAAAGUGGACGUAUAGGGUGUGACGCCUGCCCGGUGCCGGAAGGUUAAGUGAUGGGGUGCAAGCUCUUGAUCGAAGCCCCGGUAAACGGCGGCCGUAACUAUAACGGUCCUAAGGUAGCGAAAUUCCUUGUCGGGUAAGUUCCGACCUGCACGAAUGGCGUAACGAUGGCCACACUGUCUCCUCCUGAGACUCAGCGAAGUUGAAAUGUUUGUGAAGAUGCAAUCUCCCCGCGGCUAGACGGAAAGACCCCAUGAACCUUUACUGUAGCUUUGCAUUGGACUUUGACGGGACUUGUGUAGGAUAGGUGGGAGGCUAUGAAACCGGGACGCCAGUUCCGGCGGAGCCACCCUUGAAAUACCACCCUGGUGUCGUCGAGGUUCUAACCCAGGCCUGUGAAUCCAGGUCGGGGACCGUGCAUGGUGGGCAGUUUGACUGGGGCGGUCUCCUCCCAAAAGGUAACGGAGGAGUACGAAGGUCACCUAGGUACGGUCGGACAUCGUACUGAUAGUGCAAUGGCAAAAGGUGGCUUGACUGCGAGACCCACAAGUCGAGCAGGUGCGAAAGCAGGUCAUAGUGAUCCGGUGGUUCUGUAUGGAAGGGCCAUCGCUCAACGGAUAAAAGGUACUCUGGGGAUAACAGGCUGAUUCCGCCCAAGAGUUCACAUCGACGGCGGAGUUUGGC